GCACACAACUCCGGUGAUAAAGUGGAAUCUCUCAGCUGGGCUCAACUGAUAAUGUAUCAGAAAUGAAAAGCUGCAACAGUAUUGGACAAUUUCUCCUGGAUGGUCACAGGAUGAAGGCACUGGCUUGAUUCUCCAGCUCUCUUCACUAGAAGCUUAGAGUGUGUUAACUUAGAAGGAAGUUGUUAAGUAUGGGGAGUGUAACAGGCGAAUGCUCAGAGCAGAACAAUCAAUACUCAACUCAUGAGAAUCACACCAAUUUCCGAAGUACAGGGGAUUAUCAGCAAAUUGAUUAUCGACAUUUGAAACGAGAUUAUCAACACAGAAUUUUUGUGAACAGGAGCCUGGCGCUUGAGAAGAUUAAAUGUUUUGGAUUUGACAUGGACUACACCCUGGCAGUUUACAGAUCUCCUGAGUAUGAAGAGCUAGGCUUUCAGCUGAUGAUAAAUCACUUGGUUUCAAUUGGAUAUCCACAGGAAUUGCACCUCUACACAUAUGAUCCCACUUUCCCAACCAGAGGGCUUGUGUUUGAUACUCUGCAUGGAAACCUUCUAAAAGUGGACUCUCACGGCAAUAUCUUGGUGUGUGCUCAUGGCUUCAGGUUCCUCAAGGGAGCAGACAUUCGUGAGCAGUACUCCAACAAGUUUAUCCAAAGAGAUGACCUGGGACGCUUUUACAUCCUUGACACUCUCUUUAACCUUGCCGAAACCUACCUAUACGCUUGCCUCGUGGAUUUCUUCAACAAGUGCUCAAAAUACACCAGCUGUGAGGCAGGCUUUAAAUGUGGUGACCUCUUCAUGUCAUAUCGGCACAUGUUCCAGGAUGUGCGUGAUACAAUGGAUUUCGUGCAUGAUUCAGGGACUUUGAAGAAGAAAACGCUGGCAAACCUGGAAAGAUAUGUGAUGAAGGAUCCUCGAUUGCCUCUGCUCCUCAGUCGAAUGAAAGAAGUGGGAAAGAUUUUCCUUGCUACCAACAGCGAUUACUCCUACACAGAUGCAAUAAUGAAAUACCUGUUUGACUUCCCACGUGGGCCAAAGCCAGGUACUUCACACUGCUCCUGGCGUUCCUAUUUUGACCUGAUUGUGGUAGACACAAGAAAGCCUCUUUUCUUUGGAGAGGGAACAAUGCUCAGACUGGUUGAUGAUGAAUCUGGGAGGCUUCGGAUUGGCACCUACACAGGCCCUUUGCAACACGGUAUUGUUUAUUCUGGAGGGUCUUCAGACAUGAUCUGCGACCUGCUGGGGGUGAAGGGUAAAGAGAUUCUGUACAUUGGAGACCAUAUCUUUGGAGACAUCCUCAAAUCCAAGAAAUGGCAGGGCUGGAGGACAUUCCUGGUUGUACCCGAACUGGCACGUGAGCUACGGGUCUGGACAGAGAAGAGUGCUCUUUUCGAAGAACUUCGUAACCUUGAUAUAUUUGUUGCUGAUCUUUACAAGCAUUUAGACAGCAGCAGCAAUGAGCACCCUGACAUUUCCGCAAUUCGGAAACAAAUAAAGGCAGUGACCCACGAGAUGGACAUGUGCUACGGAAAAAUGGGAAGUUUAUUAAGAUGUGGCUCCAGACAGACAUUAUUUGCCAGUCAGCUGAUGCGCUACGCUGACCUGUAUGCUGCAUCUUAUAUAAAUCUCCUGUAUUAUCCUUUCAGCUACCUAUUCCAAACACCUCCUGUACUGGAGUCAGCAGGUGGAAGACUGAUGCUGGUUAAUUCACUUUUCCACUGGAGAUGACUUCCACAAUGGGUUAGGCAUGUUGUGAUGAAUUAAUCUUGUAGGCGCUGGGGUACAGAAGUUCAGAAGUUCCAGUACAAACAGUGAAGGUAAGGGCCAGGCAGUCACCUGAAUUGAACUCUUGUUCUGAGCUGCUGUUUGCAAGAUGGAAGAUGGCAGACUGAAUGGAAGUACAGCAAGACAAGGUAACUGCUUCUCCCAGCUAGGAGGUCAUGUGACAUAACCCCCACUUCUCCACUUUGGCUUUGACAGAGGAUUCCUUUGUCUGGAUUCCUGGGAAGGUUAAUGUUUCAACAAUUAAAAAUUUGAAAGAGGGUUGCCAAAUCUUUUGUCGUAGCAGACUGGUCAUCUCCAUUGGCCAGGCCUGGCUUAGGAAAUGUAGAUGGCCUUUGUAUAACUUCCUUUGAAUUUCAUCUCUGCAUCCACAGAGGUCAUUAGUCUCUCUUCAGGGAUAACGAGGUGUCAGCUUCUCUGACAUUGCCAGAAAUUUCCCUUUGUUCAGGGUUACAGGCAAACAUAGCUUUAGCCUUUUUCCAAGGGUAGGAUCUUUCCAUCGGCAUGCGGGGGCGGGCCCAACAUGCUGAGCCAUAAAAUGACACGCGAUGACAUCAGGUGUACGUCCCAACGUCAUUGUGCGCCAUUGCGAUAUUUCGUUCAGCGUGCCCACAACGGAGUCGGCUGUGAGCCGACCGAAAUGUAAACGGCCUAUUAAGGCCAUUAGGAAAUUAAUUAAAGCUCUUAUCAAUGCUGCCUGUCCAACCUUAAGGUUGGCCGCCAGGUGAAAAGCCCAAACGGCCUUCGCAUUUUUCAGGAAUCCUCAUCCACUAGCGCAAUAAAGUUUCCUGAAGUUUUUAUUAAAUAAAUAAAUAUUCACAAAUAUAAAAACAUGUCCCAACUCAUGUGACACAUGAGGGGACAUGUUUAAAUAAGUUUUUAAAUAAUUUAUUUAAUUAUUUUAAUAUCCAUUCAAUCUCCCUGAGGCAGCUCCGUGCCUCAGAGAGAUUGUUGGCGCUGGACCCAACUUUCCAUUCUCCCCCUGCCCGCACAGGUAAUGCUUGCGCUACCGGUCGCACAUUAUGCUGGGUGGGCCUUAAUUGGCGUAAAUCCUUUUUCAUUUGAGGACGUGAAAAACAGAGAUGAUGAGAAUUUUUUUCUCUCACAGAGGGUCGUGAGUCUUUGAAACUUUCUUCCACAAAAAGAGGUGGAGGCAAAAUCUUUUAAUGUUUUAAGGCUGAGGUAGAUGAGAUUCUUGAUAAGCAAGGGGGUGAAAAGUUAUCGGUGGUAGGCAGGAAUGUGGAGUUGAGGUUAAAUUGAAUAGUGGAGCAGACUCGAAAGAGCCAAGUGGCCUAUUGCUGCUCCUAAUUCGUACGUGAGGUCUUAGCUCCGGGAUGUCUGUCAGGGUCUCCACUAUCGUGUUACUCUGACAGUUAAUCUGCUUCUUAUUCCUGUGGUGCAGCAGAUAUCAUUCAAAAUUUCAUAAUCACCGUUCCCCCUCUUUCUAUUUUAUGAAUUAAACAUCUUGAAUUAUUAAAAAAAAAGUCCUCUUCCAACUAUCCCUAGGGAUUUUGCAGGCUUGUAUAUUAUAUUGAUGAUCUUAUUAAUAGCUCCUUGCAUGUGUUACUUGAACUUUUUUUCAACUCAAAUAUCAAUAUAAUUAAAAAAACACCAUGCUUUUCUAUUUUUCUAUUUUCCUGAAGGCACAGCCUCUUGUUGACUGGCAUUGAAAGCACUGAAGCAUCUCUCUCAUUCCCUCACACAUGUUCAAUGGCUCAUUUAUCUGCUCCCUAUCCUCAGGCACCGAGGCCAAUUGUAGUGCCCCUACCACUAGCCCCCUUGUGAUCAUCUAACUCAACCAUAAUAUGGGAAUUGAGAUCUUCAAGAUUCUAUGAUUAAGUUUACCAAAUGAACUAGUCAGGAAAGCUUGAAUAUUAUAUUUAUUGGACAAUUAAGUAUUAAGCUAGAAGAGUCUUCUGUACUUGUGGAGUGAUACCAGCUUCCCAAGAUAUCUACAAUUCAUGGCAUGACUUCAUUGGUUAAUUUUCCAGAUGCCCCAUGAGUCAACUGUUGAACACGCCCCACAGGACAUCAGUUUUAUGGAAUCUUUCCUGGAAAAUCAAAUGAACCACACCCAACUAACCAAUGGGAAGCAUCAGGGUUCUUGUCACAGUCACGAAAUCGAUAGAAGCUUGGAGGAGGAAGAGAAAUGAACAAAUUGCAAUUUCCUGACAGUGCUAAUUAAUCAGUGCAUUAGGUUUUGGGAAACAUUCCCUGCGGUGUCUCCAACACAACACAUAUACAGUGAGCUUGGAGAACGUUCCUGAUCCAGUGAAAGCAUUGUUCCUCAACUUUGUUUACAGCCGAUAAACUCAUUGUGACUUGGUGGUGAUCUUUCAUGGUCUGCAUAUGUGUUCACCUUACAACCAGCAACUCAGACUGACCAAAGUUCUGUUCCAGGAGACAAUAAUGGCCAUAAUAAUAAGAAUGACAAUAAACUUUUCAAGAAAAUGUUUACUGAAAAAAUACAAUCAAGAUAGGGUUCUAAUAAUUGUGCAAUUCAGUCUGUAUUAAUACUACAUUAAACAGACUUCACAAAGUUUAAUAACCUUGUGACUAUAUUUCUCAGGAGUUGCAAGUUGUAAUAAUGUUUCAAACCCCCGAACUUGAUGAACAUUUUCUCUUCCAGUAAUUAGGACUUUUCCACUGAGACAAUAAAUGAAACUGUUACAUUAACAUGAAGACCUAUCCUGACAAACACCUCCUCUCUCUCCCCUUGCCACAUUACUGGAAAUCUUCUGCAUCAUGCAACACCUUCAGGGAAGGAGGAAAUAUGAAUUGAGGAGAAAAAGUAGGAAAUGCAGUGUGAGAACUCUUUCCAUGUGUAAGUGCCUUUUUUGGAACCUGUAUGGGUUGUUGUGACUCUAUUGGAUGUUUCGUGAAUAUAUUCUCACUCCCUCCCUCCGUCCGGUUUCCAAGAAGUCUGCAGUUAUAUAUUUCUAACAGUUCAGAGAAAUACUCUCGGAUGUGAUUGAACAGAUCAGGACUCAAUACGGGUUCAACUUGCAACAUCUGAAAACACUUAGUGACAGGAAAGGAUUGGCCUCAAGGUUUGAGCUGAGCAUUUGUGGUAAGGAUUUGGCUCAGGGUUUGUGUAAGAAGUUAGGAUAACGGUAACUAAACAAUGAAAUCUCCAGGUAUUGAUUCUGACUUCUAGUUUGCCCACUGAAGACUGAUGCAGAGUUGAGCCAGAGAGCUGUGAAUGAAUUUACUUCAGUCACAAACAUUUGCUGUCAAAUCAGUACAUUGAAUAGGUUCCUAUGAAAAGUAGUUUCAAUGAGAGUUCCUCUGCAAACAACUUGUAUGUUACAUACAGGCCCUGAACUUGUAUCAUCCAGCUCGAGAUAUCACAUUUACUCAGGGAGCAAAUUCCAAAGACACCUUUUCGAAGAAGAAUCAGAGUGUCAUGAGUGCUGAUGUUGGUGUGCAGUGCAAUCUUUGGUAAAAAGGUUUCUGGAGUUUCUGUUUAAUUUGGAUAUUAGGUAACAAAUAUUGAUGUUUGACUGUUACCAUUACUUCUGACAAUUCAUUAUGUUUUUAAAAAUGGUUUGAAAUUCAACUUUGAGAUUUUUUUCAAUUAAAAAUAUUUCCAAAAACUGAAAA